rnacentral:lncRNA from 12 species
CGCUCAGUUGUCCAGGCACAUUACCGAGAACAGGCUCCUUGGAGUCAGGAAACAUGAGUCUCCGUCUCCUGGCAAGCGGGAAUAAAGGCAUUUUAGGCCACUCCGCUCUUCCUCCUGGUCCGCAACGUACCACCUAAGCGGAGGUGGCCCCUCCCAGUGGGGAGGAGCGCGGGCCAGGACGGCGCUCCGGCCCCUCCCCCUCCCCCAGCAGAGUACCCCGGCUUGGAAACGCUCUCAUGGUUGGCAGCAGGGCUCCAUAAAUGGGAGUGGGCUUGGUAACUAACUACUGUUGUUCUGUUGGUUAGCAUUCUUAAAACUUUCGGAAAAUAUAAAUGUGUACAGAAAAGUGCAGCUGUUAGGAGUGCAAAGCUCAAUAAAUUCUCACAUAAUGUCUUUUCACGAAAUAACCAGCACCCAGAUCAAGAAGCAGAACGUCACCAGCCCCCUGCAGAAGUCCCCCUCCUGGGGGAUGCCAGCCACUCCCCACAAGGGAAGACACUGUCCUGACUUCUAACUGCAGGGAUUAGUUUUGCCUGGCCUAGUGCUUUAUGGAAAUGGCAUCACGCGAUACUUGGACAGCAUUUUAAUGGUUACAAACACUUUGCACUGCAGAAAUGGAGCCUCCAGAGGUGGCCAGGACUCCCCCAAGGGACUUGAGAGUGCUCGCAAGCCUCCCUAGACCCCAUCCCACAGGCAGAUGGCUUUGGAAACUCCUGCCGAUGCACAGCCCUGGCCUGCUGGGGACUCUGUUUUCCAUACCUGGGCCAUCCCUCUGCAGUGUGAUCUCACCCCAGAUGGCAGCCAUGGCCACUGUGGCUCCUGGGCACCUACAGUGAGGCUAGACCAAAUCCAGCUGUGCUGUGCAUGUGAAAUAUACAACCGGUUUUAAAGACUUCAUGGGAAAAAGAAGGUAAAAUCUCAUGGACGAUUUUUUAUAUUGAUUACACGUUGAGGUGGUAAUGUUUGGAUUUCCUUGAGUUUAAUGAAAAUUUUAUUAAAAUUAAUUUUGUGUGCUGGUUUUUAAUCUUUGUUUUUCAAUGUGGCUACUAGAAAAUAUAUUUUUUUAAGAUUUUAUUUAUUUUUUCAUGAGAGACACAGAGAGAGGGGCAGAGACACAGGCAGAGGGAGAAGCAGGCUCCACGCAGGGACCCUGAUGUGAAACUCGAUCCCAGAACCUCAGGAUCACUCCCUGAGCCGAAGGCAGACGCUCAACUGCUGAGCCACCUAUUUUCUAGGUGUCCCGCUACUAGAAAAUAUUAAUGAUGAAAGUUCUGUUGUAUAUCUCUGUUCUAAACAAUGGAGAGGAUGGUGGUGUUUUACAGGUGAAGCUCAGAGGACCAGGGGACUUGCCCGAGGUCACACAGCUGUGUGAGUGACAAGUCUGUGCUCCUAACCAUUAGGCCACAUGCCCUAGGGUGCCCCCACGGCACCUGACAUACAUGAAUUCAGCCCCCCACUGUCAGGUGAGUGCCCCCUUUCUCAGCUGGCCCCAGGCUGACUCAAGGGUAAAAGAAACCACCUGUGUUUACAUUCCUCAGAGGCACCCCUCACUGUGAGCCCCCUUCGGUGGACUCUUCUGCCCUAAGGAGGCAGAGCUCUCCUGCCCACUACCUCCCAAACCCAGGCCUGACCACACAAAGGCUGCCCCUCCCAGGAAGCAGCUGCAGCCUUAACUGCCCACUCCCACGCAGACCCAGCCCUCCUGUGAGCCUGUCCUUCCUUGAGCAGCUAGCUGCCCAAGGCUGCAGAAGGCCUUCUCACCAGGGUAACCUGUGGAAGGGCCCCAUCUAACCCAAACCCGGCCUAGAGCCAGAGAGCAUGCCCUGGGCAAAUGGC